CCUCGUUCAAUUUGGUUGUGGUGUAGUUUGUAAACAAAUCUGAUCAAAUCGAUCACUUUCUGUUUUCGUCACAACCUCCUUGAGUGAGUGA
rnacentral:pre_miRNA from 1 species